rnacentral:sRNA from 1 species
UGUUUUUUUGUUGUUUUGU